GACGAACCGUGCGAACGUUGUUCGGAAUCACUGGGCAUAAAGGGCGCGUAGGCGGUGCGUCAAGUCUUGGGUGAAAUCUUUCGGCUCAACCGGAAAAGUGCCUGGGAUACUGACGUGCUGGAGGGAGAUAGGGGUCUUGGGAACUACCAGUGGAGCGGUGAAAUGCGUUGAGAUUGGUAGGAACGCCGGUGGCGAAAGCGCAAGACUGGGUCUCUUCUGACGCUGAGGCGCGAAAGCCAGGGGAGCAAACGGG
rnacentral:rRNA from 1 species